AGUUGGUGGUCUGGACAAUCCUAAAGAAAUUCCUUGAAGCAUUCCCAAGCAUGAUAGAGGCUUUCAUCUGUCUUAUGUUUGAAGCUCAGUAUCUCAUUGCAUAGUCU
rfam:Capsicum annuum cultivar Zunla-1 chromosome 5, whole genome shotgun sequence